UGCUGCUGGCUUUCUUGUUCCAUCAACGUCUCCUCCAGCUGAAAUGGUACACACAGUUGCAUGAUCACAACCUCAAGGCUUCCUGGGUUGCUGAGAAGAAGGUGUUCCUUGCUUGUUCACCAUUAUCCAUAGCAGGGGGUUUUGUUGCUCUGUUCAUGAACGUCAAGCAGAACCAACUUCACAUUGUAAAGCAUUUUCUUUGGGGCCGUUUAAGAUCCUAUGCCGGUCUAGUUCUCGAUUGCUUUGUAUUCCCUCAAGUCCUCCUCAACAUUUUUCUCAACUCAAAGAAAGUACUCUUUCUUGGACAUUUUACCUUGGAAUCGCUUUUAUGCGUGUGCUUCCACACGCAUAUGACCUUUACAGGGAAAAAACCUAUGAUCCUUGGUCAUCCAAGUUUUCGAUCGAUCCUCAUGCAGGUUUCUUCUCCGUCUCUCAGGACGUCAUUGUCUGUUCUGUAUAUCUGCUAUUUGCUGCAAUCAUCUGCUUGCAGCAGCGGUUUGGCAGACGAUGUAUCCUUCCAAGUAGAUUUAGGGGACAUGAAGAUUAUGAGAAAGUUCUAGGGUCUAGUGACAAGUAA
rnacentral:lncRNA from 1 species